AGAGUUUGAUCCUGGCUCAGGAUGAACGCUAGCGACAGGCUUAACACAUGCAAGUCGAGGGGCAGCACAGGUAGCAAUACCGGGUGGCGACCGGCGCACGGGUGAGUAACGCGUAUGCAACUUGCCUAUCAGAGGGGGAUAACCCGGCGAAAGUCGGACUAAUACCGCAUGAAGCAGGGAUCCCGCAUGGGAAUAUUUGCUAAAGAUUCAUCGCUGAUAGAUAGGCAUGCGUUCCAUUAGGCAGUUGGCGGGGUAACGGCCCACCAAACCGACGAUGGAUAGGGGUUCUGAGAGGAAGGUCCCCCACAUUGGUACUGAGACACGGACCAAACUCCUACGGGAGGCAGCAGUGAGGAAUAUUGGUCAAUGGCCGAGAGGCUGAACCAGCCAAGUCGCGUGAGGGAUGAAGGUUCUAUGGAUCGUAAACCUCUUUUAUAAGGGAAUAAAGUGCGGGACGUGUCCCGUUUUGUAUGUACCUUAUGAAUAAGGAUCGGCUAACUCCGUGCCAGCAGCCGCGGUAAUACGGAGGAUCCGAGCGUUAUCCGGAUUUAUUGGGUUUAAAGGGUGCGUAGGCGGCCUUUUAAGUCAGCGGUGAAAGUCUGUGGCUCAACCAUAGAAUUGCCGUUGAAACUGGGGGGCUUGAGUAUGUUUGAGGCAGGCGGAAUGCGUGGUGUAGCGGUGAAAUGCAUAGAUAUCACGCAGAACCCCGAUUGCGAAGGCAGCCUGCCAAGCCAUUACUGACGCUGAUGCACGAAAGCGUGGGGAUCAAACAGGAUUAGAUACCCUGGUAGUCCACGCAGUAAACGAUGAUCACUAGCUGUUUGCGAUACACUGUAAGCGGCACAGCGAAAGCGUUAAGUGAUCCACCUGGGGAGUACGCCGGCAACGGUGAAACUCAAAGGAAUUGACGGGGGCCCGCACAAGCGGAGGAACAUGUGGUUUAAUUCGAUGAUACGCGAGGAACCUUACCCGGGUUUGAACGCAUUCGGACCGAGGUGGAAACACCUUUUCUAGCAAUAGCCGUUUGCGAGGUGCUGCAUGGUUGUCGUCAGCUCGUGCCGUGAGGUGUCGGCUUAAGUGCCAUAACGAGCGCAACCCUUGCCACUAGUUACUAACAGGUAAAGCUGAGGACUCUGGUGGGACUGCCAGCGUAAGCUGCGAGGAAGGCGGGGAUGACGUCAAAUCAGCACGGCCCUUACAUCCGGGGCGACACACGUGUUACAAUGGCGUGGACAAAGGGAGGCCACCUGGCGACAGGGAGCGAAUCCCCAAACCACGUCUCAGUUCGGAUCGGAGUCUGCAACCCGACUCCGUGAAGCUGGAUUCGCUAGUAAUCGCGCAUCAGCCAUGGCGCGGUGAAUACGUUCCCGGGCCUUGUACACACCGCCCGUCAAGCCAUGGGAGCCGGGGGUACCUGAAGUCCGUAACCGCGAGGAUCGGCCUAGGGUAAAACUGGUGACUGGGGCUAAGUCGUAACAAGGUAGCCGUACCGGAAGGUGCGGCUGGAACACCU
rnacentral:rRNA from 1 species